UGCUCUUAUUCAUUAUGGAUUUGAAGAUUAGGAAUGUUAAGGUCCCAAUUUUAAUCUUUGUAUUUGACGUACUAUGCUCUUAUUCAUAUGUCAUUAUUCUUCACUCAAACUAGUUUACAAGCACUUGCUUUGCCAGUUCUGUGGGUCACUGGCUGAUUAUCUUUAGCCAUUCAUUUGAUGGGCCACCAUUGAUAAGGAUAGGAGCCCCAUUAGUAUUAAGCAUUAAGGUAUUCUACAUCAUUGGAACCCCAGUUAGUAUGAUUUGGAUGUUUGUAUGUGCAUGUCAUGUGUGGUAGAUGCAGAUAGUGGUGAAACCAAAGCUUAGUUAAAUUGUUCCCUACAAUAGACAUGUCACUGAUAGUUACAAUAAUAUUCUUUGGGGAUAUCCUGCUUUAUGGAAGUGAGAUUCUUCAAAUGUCUGUAAGAUAGCAUUCUCUUAUAAUCAUAAUAAAGAAGAUUACAUCUUUAAUAAACAUAAUAAAGAAGAGCACAUCUUCAAAAAUAUUCAUCCCUGUUUGGGGCAUGGGAAGUUAUUUCAUACUUUGGUAGAGUUUGAUGCAUGAUGCACAGGCACUUAGAGAUAAAGAUCUGUAGACGCGACGUGCAGUAUCUCAUUAUGCCAUUCAAAUUUUGGGGUCCACUGUAGAUACAGGUUAUAAUUAGAAAAUCAGAUUGGUUCAACAAUCUUAACCUUGAUUUGUGGAAACUUACUUGUUGAACAGUUGGAUUUUUUUUAUUUUUUUUUCAAUUUUAACCAUCUGAUACUUGUCCACCAAUUGGCUAGUUUGGUAAUCAAUUCAAGGUAAUUUUUGGAUUAUGAUGCAUCUAAGUUGGUGCUGACAGAUUAAUUUGAGUUACUUGUUUGCCACAUAUAUCAACCAUCACAUCUUGCCAAAGUUGUUAUGCCUGAAAGCUACAUCUGCAAAAAUACUUUACAGGUAAAGAUAUCCCUUGAAUUUGUGGAUUAUGUGAUUAUGACAAUAUAUCUCAUGAUUUACAAGAUAAGCCUAUAUUUUCCUCAUAAAAUGAGCAUAUGGUCUAAUUUGACAAAUUGUCUUUUACUAUUUUUUCUGUUCAUGCUACUUCUAUUAGCUACAUGAAUAUAGAACGGAUCCUUAUCCAUUUGUCUUAACAAUACUGAGAUUCAGGAAAGUGAACUCUCUGAUGCAAGCUCAACAAAUUUGAAAGAAGAUGGAUAUUCACCAUCCCUAACUCUGAUCAGAAAGCAUGGAUGGUAUUCAGAUAAACUUUCAUAUCUAAAAGGAAAAGUGCCUUCCUCGAUAGGAAUUCCAACAUCAGUUGCCCUGCCCUUUGGAGUUUUUGAGAAGGUUUUGUUAGAUGAUUCAAACCAGGUGAAGAGAAGGAUAGAUUUGGUUUAUGGGGGAGGGAGUGUGGGAUUGAUGGGUUUGAUGGGUUUGAUCUCCCAAGCUGUUUAUGAUGGAGGCUGCCAUGUUCUUGGGUAAGAAAUCAGGCCCUCAUAAACAGAAUUUAUUUAUUAUUUUUUUUAAAAAAAAAGUUCUAUUCAUGAAAGCUUUUGGUAUACCAGCUAUGGAUUUCUGGGAUUAGUGUCUUUUUAGUAUCUUACUUUUAAUGUGACUGGCAAGGUACU